GACGAACCGAGCGAACGUUGUUCGGAAUCACUGGGCUUAAAGGCGCGUAGGCGGGCUGCCAAGUUUGGGGUGAAAUCCUCCGGCUCAACCGGAGCAGUGCCUCGAAUACUGGCGGUCUCGAGGGAGGUAGGGGCGUGCGGAACUGUGGGUGGAGCGGUGAAAUGCGUUGAUAUCCACAGGAACUCCGGUGGCGAAGGCGGCACGCUGGACCUUUUCUGACGCUGAGGCGCGAAAGCCAGGGAGCGAACGGG
rnacentral:rRNA from 1 species